AGUGAACGCUGGCGGUAGGCCUAACACAUGCAAGUCGAACGGCAGCACAGGAGAGCUUGCUCUCUGGGUGGCGAGUGGCGGACGGGUGAGGAAUACAUCGGAAUCUGCCCAGUCGUGGGGGAUAACGUAGGGAAACUUACGCUAAAACCGCAUACGACCUUCGGGUGAAAGAGGGGGAUCGCAAGACCUCUCGCGAUUGGAUGAGCCGAUGUCGGAUUAGCUAGUUGGCGGGGUAAUGGCCCACCAAGGCGACGAUCCGUAGCUGGUCUGAGAGGAUGAUCAGCCACACUGGAACUGAGACACGGUCCAGACUCCUACGGGAGGCAGCAGUGGGGAAUAUUGGACAAUGGGCGCAAGCCUGAUCCAGCCAUACCGCGUGGGUGAAGAAGGCCUUCGGGUUGUAAAGCCCUUUUGUUGGGAAAGAAAUCUUUCAGGCUAAUACCCUGGGAGGAUGACGGUACCCAAAGAAUAAGCACCGGCUAACUUCGUG
rnacentral:rRNA from 1 species